rnacentral:rRNA from 1 species
GAUGAACGCUGGCGGCGUGCUUAACACAUGCAAGUCGAACGAUGAAGCCCAGCUUGCUGGGUGGAUUAGUGGCGAACGGGUGAGUAACACGUGAGUAACCUGCCCUUAACUCUGGGAUAAGCCUGGGAAACUGGGUCUAAUACCGGAUAGGAGCGCCUACCGCAUGGUGGGUGUUGGAAAGAUUUAUCGGUUUUGGAUGGACUCGCGGCCUAUCAGCUUGUUGGUGAGGUAAUGGCUCACCAAGGCGACGACGGGUAGCCGGCCUGAGAGGGUGACCGGCCACACGGGGACUGAGACACGGACCAGACUCCUACGGGAGGCAGCAGUGGGGAAUAUUGCACAAUGGGCGAAAGCCUGAUGCAGCGACGCCGCGUGAGGGAUGACGGCCUUCGGGUUGUAAACCUCUUUCAGUAGGGAAGAAGCGAAAGUGACGGUACCUGCAGAAGAAGCACCGGCUAACUACGUG